CAUAGGUUAAUGAGGCGAACCGGGGGAACUGAAACAUCUAAGUACCCCGAGGAAAAGAAAUCAACCGAGAUUCCCCCAGUAGCGGCGAGCGAACGGGGAGCAGCCCAGAGCCUGAAUCAGUGUGUGUGUUAGUGGAAGCGUCUGGAAAGGCGCGCGAUACAGGGUGACAGCCCCGUACACAAAAAUGCACAUACUGUGAGCUCGAUGAGUAGGGCGGGACACGUGGUAUCCUGUCUGAAUAUGGGGGGACCAUCCUCCAAGGCUAAAUACUCCUGACUGACCGAUAGUGAACCAGUACCGUGAGGGAAAGGCGAAAAGAACCCCGGCGAGGGGAGUGAAAAAGAACCUGAAACCGUGUACGUACAAGCAGUGGGAGCCUCUUUAUGGGGUGACUGCGUACCUUUUGUAUAAUGGGUCAGCGACUUAUAUUCUGUAGCAAGGUUAACCGAAUAGGGGAGCCGAAGGGAAACCGAGUCUUAACUGGGCGUUAAGUUGCAGGGUAUAGACCCGAAACCCGGUGAUCUAGCCAUGGGCAGGUUGAAGGUUGGGUAACACUAACUGGAGGACCGAACCGACUAAUGUUGAAAAAUUAGCGGAUGACUUGUGGCUGGGGGUGAAAGGCCAAUCAAACCGGGAGAUAGCUGGUUCUCCCCGAAAGCUAUUUAGGUAGCGCCUCGUGAAUUCAUCUCCGGGGGUAGAGCACUGUUUCGGCAAGGGGGUCAUCCCGACUUACCAACCCGAUGCAAACUGCGAAUACCGGAGAAUGUUAUCACGGGAGACACACGGCGGGUGCUAACGUCCGUCGUGAAGAGGGAAACAACCCAGACCGCCAGCUAAGGUCCCAAAGUCAUGGUUAAGUGGGAAACGAUGUGGGAAGGCCCAGACAGCCAGGAUGUUGGCUUAGAAGCAGCCAUCAUUUAAAGAAAGCGUAAUAGCUCACUGGUCGAGUCGGCCUGCGCGGAAGAUGUAACGGGGCUAAACCAUGCACCGAAGCUGCGGCAGCGACACUAUGUGUUGUUGGGUAGGGGAGCGUUCUGUAAGCCUGUGAAGGUGUGCUGUGAGGUAUGCUGGAGGUAUCAGAAGUGCGAAUGCUGACAUAAGUAACGAUAAAGCGGGUGAAAAGCCCGCUCGCCGGAAGACCAAGGGUUCCUGUCCAACGUUAAUCGGGGCAGGGUGAGUCGACCCCUAAGGCGAGGCCGAAAGGCGUAGUCGAUGGGAAACAGGUUAAUAUUCCUGUACUUGGUGUUACUGCGAAGGGGGGACGGAGAAGGCUAUGUUGGCCGGGCGACGGUUGUCCCGGUUUAAGCGUGUAGGCUGGUUUUCCAGGCAAAUCCGGAAAAUCAAGGCUGAGGCGUGAUGACGAGGCACUACGGUGCUGAAGUAACAAAUGCCCUGCUUCCAGGAAAAGCCUCUAAGCAUCAGGUAACAUCAAAUCGUACCCCAAACCGACACAGGUGGUCAGGUAGAGAAUACCAAGGCGCUUGAGAGAACUCGGGUGAAGGAACUAGGCAAAAUGGUGCCGUAACUUCGGGAGAAGGCACGCUGAUAUGUAGGUGAAGUCCCUUGCGGAUGGAGCUGAAAUCAGUCGAAGAUACCAGCUGGCUGCAACUGUUUAUUAAAAACACAGCACUGUGCAAACACGAAAGUGGACGUAUACGGUGUGACGCCUGCCCGGUGCCGGAAGGUUAAUUGAUGGGGUUAGCGGUAACGCGAAGCUCUUGAUCGAAGCCCCGGUAAACGGCGGCCGUAACUAUAACGGUCCUAAGGUAGCGAAAUUCCUUGUCGGGUAAGUUCCGACCUGCACGAAUGGCGUAAUGAUGGCCAGGCUGUCUCCACCCGAGACUCAGUGAAAUUGAACUCGCUGUGAAGAUGCAGUGUACCCGCGGCAAGACGGAAAGACCCCGUGAACCUUUACUAUAGCUUGACACUGAACAUUGAGCCUUGAUGUGUAGGAUAGGUGGGAGGCUUUGAAGUGUGGACGCCAGUCUGCAUGGAGCCGACCUUGAAAUACCACCCUUUAAUGUUUGAUGUUCUAACGUUGGCCCCUGAUCGGGGUUGCGGACAGUGUCUGGUGGGUAGUUUGACUGGGGCGGUCUCCUCCUAAAGAGUAACGGAGGAGCACGAAGGUUGGCUAAUCCUGGUCGGACAUCAGGAGGUUAGUGCAAUGGCAUAAGCCAGCUUGACUGCGAGCGUGACGGCGCGAGCAGGUGCGAAAGCAGGUCAUAGUGAUCCGGUGGUUCUGAAUGGAAGGGCCAUCGCUCAACGGAUAAAAGGUACUCCGGGGAUAACAGGCUGAUACCGCCCAAGAGUUCAUAUCGACGGCGGUGUUUGGCACCUCGAUGUCGGCUCAUCACAUCCUGGGGCUGAAGUAGGUCCCAAGGGUAUGGCUGUUCGCCAUUUAAAGUGGUACGCGAGCUGGGUUUAGAACGUCGUGAGACAGUUCGGUCCCUAUCUGCCGUGGGCGCUGGAGAACUGAGGGGGGCUGCUCCUAGUACGAGAGGACCGGAGUGGACGCAUCACUGGUGUUCGGGUUGUCAUGCCAAUGGCACUGCCCGGUAGCUAAAUGCGGAAGAGAUAAGUGCUGAAAGCAUCUAAGCACGAAACUUGCCCCGAGAUGAGUUCUCCCUGACUCCUUGAGAGUCCUGAAGGAACGUUGAAGACGACGACGUUGAUAGGCCGGGUGUGUAAGCGCAGCGAUGCGUUGAGCUAACCGGUACUAAUGAACCGUGAGGCUUAACCUU
rnacentral:rRNA from 1 species